CAGUCGCCACGGUAAUACGGAGGGGGCUAGCGUUGUUCGGAAUUACUGGGCGUAAAGCGCACGUAGGCGGCUUGGUAAGUUAGAGGUGAAAGCCCGGAGCUCAACUCCGGAAUUGCCUUUAAGACUGCCGAGCUAGUAGGUGAGAGAGGUAAGUGGAAUUCCGAGUGUAGAGGUGAAAUUCGUAGAUAUUCGGAAGAACACCAGUGGCGAAGGCGACUUACUGGCUCAUUCUAGACGCUGAGGUGCGAAAGCGUGGGGAGCAAACAGGAUUAGAUACCCCCGUAGUCCCUGUCUCUUAUAC
rnacentral:rRNA from 1 species